rnacentral:lncRNA from 1 species
CAGCCAUUUAGCUCUUUAUUAAACCAAUGAGAGCAACACAUCUUCAGAGUAUACAAAAAGAUUAUUCCACAACACAUUGUAUCUAUUCUUAACUUAUUUUUAGUUUUUUGCUUGUUUGUUUUAUUUUGAGACAAAGCCUUACUAUGGAGCUCUGGCUUCUGUUAUUUGCUAGGUAGACCAAGCUGACCUCAAACUCAUGGAGAUCUGCCUGUCUCUGCCUGAGGUCUGGGAUUGAAGGCAUAUACCACCAUGCCUAGCAAAUUCUAUUAUUAAUGAGACUAAAAACCCUAAGAGGGGCCCCCAAAUUCCCAAGUAUAUCAACUCCAUUGAGACUCCCCAAAAUUUCUAGCAAUACCUCUUUCCUGCUGUCUAAGUCUUUAAUUGGCUGAGAAAUUAAACCAAUCCCUACACCCUAGACAGGAUCAAAAUUCACAAAGACCCAAAUGUUUCUGCCUCUCACAAGCUGGAGUUAAAGGCAUGCGCCACCACACCUAGCUUUUCUGGUUUUUUGUUUGAGUGUUGAAACAGCAUUUUAUUCUGUAGCCCAAGCUAUUCUCAAACUCAUGGCAAUCCUCCUGCCUCAGCCUCCCUAGCAGUUGGGAUUACAGGUUUGUGUCAUCAGAACCAUUAUCAUCAGGCUGUAUAUCCUGCAAGUCUUGCCGCAAAGGUAGAGGCCUGAAGAGUCCUGAGGAAACUUCCAGCUGUGUAACUGAAAGCUCUACCAAGAAAUGGCAUUCCUGCUAUGCUAUGCCGUCGCCUUGCCACCUCUCACUUGCCAAGCUCCAGCCGAAGGAGAAGGGGGGUAAGUGAGGAGGUGCUCUUACCAUAGCUCUUACAAACAGACUGCCCGAAAAUCCACCGGUGGUAAAGCACCCAGGAAACGACUGGCUACAAAAGCGGCUCGCAAGAGUGUGCCCUCUACUGGAGGGGUGAAAACACCUCAUCGUUACAGGCCUGGUACUGUGGCACUCCGUGAAAUCCACUGAACUUCUGAUUCGCAAGCUCCCCUUCCAGCAUCUGGUGUGAGAAAUUGCUCAGGACUUCAAACAGAUCUGUGCUUCCAGAGUGCAGCUAUUGGUGCUUUCCAGAACGCAAGUGAGGCCUAGCUCGUUGGCCUUUUUGAAGAUACCAACCUGUGUGCUAUCCAUGCCAAACGGGUAACAAUUAUGCCAAAAGAUACCCAGCUAGCGGGGGCUGGAGAGAUGGCUCAGAGGUUAAGAGCACUGACUGCUCUUCCAGAGGUCCUGAGUUCAAUUCCCAGCAACUACAUGUUCACAAACAUCUGUUAUUAGAUCUGGUGCCCUCUUCUGGUGUGCAGAUAGACAUGGAAGCAGAAUGUUGUAGACAAAAUAAAUAAAUAAAAUCUUAAAAAAAAAAAAAAAAA